rnacentral:rRNA from 1 species
GACGAACGCUGGCGGCGUGCUUAACACAUGCGAGUCGAACGGAAAGGCCCUGCUUGCAGGGUACUCGAGUGGCGAACGGGUGAGUAACACGUGGGUGAUCUGCCCUGCACUUCGGGAUAAGCCUGGGAAACUGGGUCUAAUACCGGAUAGGAGCCAUUUUUAGUGUGAUGGUUGGAAAGUUUUUUCGGUGUAGGAUGAGCUCGCGGCCUAUCAGCUUGUUGGUGGGGUAAUGGCCUACCAAGGCGGCGACGGGUAGCCGGCCUGAGAGGGUGGACGGCCACAUUGGGACUGAGAUACGGCCCAGACUCCUACGGGAGGCAGCAGUGGGGAAUAUUGCACAAUGGGCGCAAGCCUGAUGCGGCGACGCCGCGUGGGGGAUGACGGCCUUCGGGUUGUAAACUCCUUUCGCUAGGGACGAAGCUUUUUGUGACGGUACCUAGAUAAGAAGCACCGGCUAACUACGUG